ACAGCCAGUGUGCACCUCAGAGGUUCUUCCAGCUUGCCAGAUGAGAUUCCUGAAUAUCUGUCAGAAUGUCAGAUGAUUUGAGGAAACAGACAGAGUCCAGUACAUCCCAACCAAUGGCAAGAGUAAAAUGUUCAAGAAAAAGAAGUAUUGGUGUGAUUUCAAAGGAGAAUUA